CAGUAGCCACGGGAAUACGAAGGGGGCUAGCGUUGCUCGGAAUCACUGGGCGUAAAGGGCGCGUAGGCGGCCGAUUAAGUCGGGGGUGAAAGCCUGUGGCUCAACCACAGAAUUGCCUUCGAUACUGGUUGGCUUGAGACCGGAAGAGGACAGCGGAACUGCGAGUGUAGAGGUGAAAUUCGUAGAUAUUCGCAAGAACACCAGUGGCGAAGGCGGCUGUCUGGUCCGGUUCUGACGCUGAGGCGCGAAAGCGUGGGGAGCAAACAGGAUUAGAUACCCCUGUAGUCCCUGUCCCUUAUAC
rnacentral:rRNA from 1 species